rnacentral:rRNA from 1 species
GACGAACGCUGGCGGCGUGCUUAACACAUGCCAGUCGAACGGAAAGGCCCUGCUUUUGUGGGGUGCUCGAGUGGCGAACGGGUGAGUAACACGUGAGUAACCUGCCCUUGACUUUGGGAUAACUUCAGGAAACUGGGGCUAAUACCGGAUAGGAGCUCCUGCUGCAUGGUGGGGUUUGGAAAGUUUCGGCGGUUGGGGAUGGACUCGCGGCUUAUCAGCUUGUUGGUGGGGUAGUGGCUUACCAAGGCGUUGACGGGUAGCCGGCCUGAGAGGGUGACCGGCCACAUUGGGAGUGAGAUACGGCCAAGACUCCUACGGGAGGCAGCAGUGGGGAAUAUUGCAAAAUGGGCGGAAGCCUGAUGCAGCAACGCCGCGUGCGGGAUGACGGCCUUCGGGUUGUAAACCGCUUUCGCAUGUGACGAAGCGUGAGUGACGGUAAUGGGUAAAGAAGCACCGGCUAACUACGUG